GUUGAGAUGGUCGAGUUAGUCUAUGGCGCUUGAUUAAGGUUUUGGUUUAAUUUGAAAGGGUGUGGGUUCAAAUCCCACUCUCAAUA
rnacentral:tRNA from 1 species